CGGGGAUUGGCCUAGUGGCUUAAGGCGCACGCAUGGGGUGCGUGAGAUCGCGAGUUCGAAUCUCGCAUCCCCGACCA
rnacentral:tRNA from 1 species